UUAGAGUUUGAUCCUGGCUCAGGAUGAACGCUGGCGGCGUGCCUAAUACAUGCAAGUCGAACGAAUCUCUUUUAGAGAUGAGUGGCGAACGGGUGAGUAAUACAUAGGUAACCUGCCCCUGUGCGGGGGAUAACAGGAGGAAACUCCUGCUAAUACCGCAUAGCCAUGAGCACCGCAUGGAGCUCAUGCCAAAUAUCCUUUCGGGGAUAGCACAGGGAUGGACCUAUGGCGCAUUAGCUUGUUGGCGGGGCAACGGCCCACCAAGGCAACGAUGCGUAGCCGGCCUGAGAGGGCGGACGGCCACAUUGGGACUGAGACACGGCCCAGACUCCUACGGGAGGCAGCAGUAGGGAAUUUUCGGCAAUGGGGGAAACCCUGACCGAGCAACGCCGCGUGAGCGAAGAAGGCCUUCGGGUCGUAAAGCUCUGUUGUAAAGGAAGAACGGCGCAUACAGGAAAUGGUAUGCGAGUGACGGUACUUUACCAGAAAGCCACGGCUAACUACGUGCCAGCAGCCGCGGUAAUACGUAGGUGGCGAGCGUUAUCCGGAAUCAUUGGGCGUAAAGAGGGAGCAGGCGGCCGCAAGGGUCUGUGGUGAAAGACCGAAGCUAAACUUCGGUAAGCCAUGGAAACCGGGCGGCUAGAGUGCGGAAGAGGAUCGUGGAAUUCCAUGUGUAGCGGUGAAAUGCGUAGAUAUAUGGAGGAACACCAGUGGCGAAGGCGACGGUCUGGGCCGCAACUGACGCUCAUUCCCGAAAGCGUGGGGAGCAAAUAGGAUUAGAUACCCUAGUAGUCCACGCCGUAAACGAUGGUCACUAAGUGUCGGGGGUCAAACCCCGGUGCUGCAGUCAACGCAAUAAGUGACCCGCCUGAGUAGUACGUUCGCAAGAAUGAA
rnacentral:rRNA from 1 species